CGGGGGGAGCAAGCGUUGUUCGGAUUUACUGGGCGUAAAGGGCGCGUAGGCGGCCACCGCAAGUCGACUGUGAAAUCUCCGGGCUUAACCCGGAAAGGUCAGCCGAUACUGCGGGGCUAGAGUGCAGAAGGGGCAACUGGAAUUCUCGGUGUAGCGGUGAAAUGCGUAGAUAUCGAGAGGAACACCUGCGGCGAAGGCGGGUUGCUGGGCUGACACUGACGCUGAGGCGCGAAAGCUAGGGGAGCGAACGGGAUUAGAUACCCCGGUAGUCCUAGCCUUAAACGAUGAAUGCUUGGUGUCUGGGGUUUUAUAGUCCCCGGGUGCCGUCGCUAACGCUUUAAGCAUCCCACUGGGGAGUACGGCCGCAAGGUUG
rnacentral:rRNA from 1 species